GGCACCAUGGCCUAAUGGUAAGGCGUAAGUCAAUUCUCGAUCUUUCCGGUAUGAAUUCUAGCUAAUCACGUAAUCGCGCGAUAGGCUACUUUCCGGCUUAAUAUGGUAGAGACUGAGGGUUCGAGUCCCUCUGGUGUCG